UGAGGAAUAUUGGACAAUGGGCGCAAGCCUGAUCCAGCCAUGCCGCGUGCAGGAAGAAGCAUCUAUGGUGUGUAAACUGCUUUUGUACGGGAAGAAACACUCCUUCGUGAAGGAGCUCGACGGUACCGUAAGAAUAAGGAUCGGCUAACUCCGUGCCAGCAGCCGCGGUAAUACGGAGGAUCCAAGCGUUAUCCGGAAUCAUUGGGUUUAAAGGGUCCGUAGGCGGUUUAGUAAGUCAGUGGUGAAAGCCCAUCGCUCAACGAUGGAACGGCCAUUGAUACUGCUAGACUUGCAUUAUUAGGAAGUAACUAGCAUAUGUAGUGUAGCGGUAAAAUGCUUCGAUAUUACAUGGAAUACCAAUUGCGAAGGCAGGUUACUACUACUGGAUUGACGCUGAUGGACGAAAGCGUGGGGAGCGAACA
rnacentral:rRNA from 1 species